GGAUGACUGUUGCCAAGGUGUUGUGUUUUUGAACCUCAUCACCGGGUAUACAUUCAUCAAU
rnacentral:pre_miRNA from 1 species